UACGGGGGGAGCAAGCGUUGUUCGGAUUUACUGGGCGUAAAGGGCGCGUAGGCGGCCACCGCAAGUCGACUGUGAAAUCUCCGGGCUUAACCUGGGAACUGCAUUCGAGACUGCAUUGCUAGAGUAUGGGAGAGGGAAGUGGAAUUUCCGGUGUAGCGGUGAAAUGCGUAGAUAUCGGAAGGAACAUCAGUGGCGAAAGCGACUUCCUGGACCAAUACUGACGCUCAUGUGCGAAAGCGUGGGGAGCAAACAGG
rnacentral:rRNA from 1 species